rnacentral:rRNA from 1 species
UACGUAGGGCGCAAGCGUUGUCCGGAAUUAUUGGGCGUAAAGAGCUCGUAGGCGGUCUGUUACGUCCGCUGUGAAAACCCAGGGCUUAACCCUGGGCUUGCAGUGGAUACGGGUAGACUAGAGGCAGGUAGGGGAGAAUGGAAUUCCCGGUGUAGCGGUGAAAUGCGUAGAUAUCGGGAGGAAUACCGAUGGCGAAGGCAGGUCUCUGGGCUGACACUGACGCUCAUGCACGAAAGCGUGGGGAGCAAACAGG